GCAAAAGUCUCCUGGGCCACCUCUGUCAAAGCACAGGGAUGUCCCCCAGGGAAGCUCCCAUCUCCUUCCCAGUGGAGGCUGCAGCCAAGUGGGCAGGAGACCACGGAAUUCCUCCCACUACCCAGACUUCAAAGGACCAGGGCUUCUCACAGCCACCCAACAGGGGGAGGCACCAAAUGAUGACCCUGGAAUUCAUACUGAUCUUGGAAAAGGAAGCAUGAUUCAUUUGAUUAACCAGAAGAAAAAAAUGGGGUAUUUUUUGAACCUCAGUUAUUUUAUCUCAGGGUAGUUCAUAUAUGAUAUGGAUGGCUGUCUUGGCUUAGAAGGGUCAUUAUUAUCAUCCUCUCCUUCAGCUAGGAAUACAAGAUAUUACUGCAAUGUAUUACUAGUAACAUUUAAAUAGCACUCAACAGAGAUUAUCUCAUAGGUGCAACAAGAAAAUGCUAUCUGCUCCUCAAAUCAAUUUCAUUAUAGUGUGGGGAAACAAGAGAACUACAUUACCCAGACUCCCCUGCACGUACAGAGGCGGGACAUGACUAGUUCUGGCCAAUGGAAUGUGAUAGAAGUGAUGGACAGACCUGGUCGUAAAACUCUGCACCACUCUCCCUACUGCUCCCAUUGGAGGACACGUUGAAAAUGUUGGUGCCACAGGAAGGAAAAAAACCCCUAGAUCCUGAAUCACUGUUUGAAACCCAGCUUAGUCUAUACGAUUAUGGAGUUGGAUACGCCAGAGUUUAAAGGCUCACGGCUCUGGUGGAAGGGGCUGGAGCCCCCACCUUCUAGGCCACCUGCCUCACAGGAAGAGCUGCAGCGGAGCCAACCUGAAUUCCAAAAUUGCUCAACCCACUCCGGGAAGCCCGAGGCAGUAGCAUGGCGGGACCCACCUGAUGGGCACCUUUGCAUCUGGAAUCCUCUGCAGCCUUAAAACGCUCCGCCCACAGAAGCAGGACCAUGUCACACUCCCCAGAGCAUGGUCACCAUCACUUGGGAAUCUGCUGAGUCUGGAAGAAUCAAGCCCCAGAAGAGACUGCACUGUGUGUGCCUGCUGUCAGAGCCCGGGGGCUCCUACCACGGAGCCCACACUUCUCUGGACUCAGGGGUCUCCUAGUGGUCACCACCAAGCCUCUGCACAUAGGUGUCCUCUCACAAGACACCCCUUCCUCCUGUGCUACCCUGCGGUAGUCCACUAAUUCAUGUGCCUCUCCUGGCCCAUCCACAGGCCUUGGACAUCCCUCUCCACCUCUUCCUCACACAUAUAUACACACACGCAUACCUACACACACACACACACACUCACGCACAUGCACACGCACGUGCAGGAGGGUGUUGUUGGGGGGAAAGUUAAACAUUUACCUGGUUAAAGCCUUUCUUGGACUUGGGGUUUUGCCUUUUCACCACUUCUGUCAGGGUUAGCGUCAGGGCCUCCAUGCUGGAGUCUGAAGGUCAAGGGCGGCUCAGGCCAGGCUCGGGACGGCUCCCUGCUGCCACCCACGCAGCCCCCUGCUCCCGCAGCCCCGCUCACCUAGCUCCUCCUGCUUCCUGCAGGCCUUGUUGAGGUUCACGGAGGUACAGACUUUCUCCACGUUGCUCCAGCGGCUCCUUCCGCUGAUGGCCCCCUGGAAUGCAGCAGCCAGACCCUCAGCCCUGGCGCCUGCUGCCUCUGCUUGGAGGCCAAAGCCGGAGACGCCUGUUCCCUAGCUACCUGCUCUCAGCACUCAGGCAAGGGCCUGCUGCAGGGCACAGGACCAUAGGAGCAGCCUUUGGGCCCCAGCUCUGGCGGAGGAAGGAUCAGGGAAGGAGACGCGAACUGGUCUUACCUUGCUGUAAAUAAUUUGUAGUGUUAGAGGGACGGCCUCCCGGUCGCCAUCGAUGCCCAGCCGCUUGCUGCCAGGACCUGUGCCAAACAACCAAGCUCUUCGCUCUCCUUUGCAGGCGCUCAGACCCUGUAACCACGCCUCCCUAGGACACUCCCUUUCCCCGCCCCUUUCAGGCCCCGCCCCCAAGAGUCCCCGCCCCUCCCUGGCUCCGCCUCCACCCCAGGCAGUGCCCACCUGAAGCUUUGAUGGCUCUCGUGGCAGCAGAGUGACCCAGCUCCAGGGAAUGGAUGAAGAUCUCCGUGGUCUUCACCCCAGUGACAAAGGUCAGCUGGAGAGGAAAGGAGCAUAAGCGUCAGUGGGUAUCUCUCGGGACUCGCGUGGCUUCUCCAGCGUGACUGACACCAGGGGAUGGGAAUAGGCACAGCUGGCACCUGGCGAGUCUCCCGGCCUUACCUCUGUCUGAUACACCUGCAGGAGCACCGGCCGCGCGGCAAAUCGGCAGUAAUACAGCAGCAUGUCGGCCAGGAUGGGCAGCUGGGCAGAGGGGCUCUGCAGGGGCCUGGGUUCAGCCUUCAGGGAGUGCUGUGGCCGGUGAGGGACCAGGCCAGAGGGAAGGAGCAGAGGGGCCGAGCCGGGAGAGAGAGGCACGUAGAAGAACUGAAGCUUAAAGAACCGAGUGAGAAGGGGGCGCGUGUUCUCCAGCCUCCUGCAAAGUGGAAAGAACAUUUCCCAGCUCUUUUUGGGCCAAGAGGUGGCAUGUGACAGAGACGAGCUCUAAGCCUGCACCUGCAGACAGGACAGACACCUUGGGGAUGGUGGCACAAUGGGAUGGUGAGGAGCUUAGAACCUGGUAGGCAGCGGGGAACAAGUCUCCAAGCCCACUGGACUGCACACUCGGGGGCGGACAAACUGGAGAGGGCUCCCUGUCCCCAGAGCCUCACCCAAGACCCCACGGAAGCCAGCCUUUUCUCCCACCGCCCGCAGCUUUGUCUUGAGCCACUGCCGGGCCUCCGUUGCAUCCCUGAUGUUGGAUGCCAGCUCCUGCGCCUCUGCCGUCUCCGUGAAGAUGUCUUCGAGCUCUUCCAGGGUCUUUGACUGAAAGCCCAGGAGGAGGCAAGGUUCAUGCAUGUCCUGUGGCCUGGCUGCCGGCCUCGGUCAGCUUCCAGGGUCUCACCAAGAGCAGCAGCGACCAGUCUGGUACUCGGCCUCAUUCACUGCCUACCUCUCUGAUGGCCUUCCAGGAGCUGGGCCUCCCCCUCCCUCUUCUGUCCUCUCGGGAAAUGGUCAGGAGAGAAGGGCCCAGAAGCAGCGCACUGCGGAGGGGAAGGGGCUAUCCAGGGGACACGGCUUAUUGAUCACAAAACCAGGACGAGUACCCAGGCCUCCACUCAAAGCUCACUUCUGCUCUCAUGCUAAGUCCUUUCUGAGGCAUCAGACUUCAGGCCCCAGCCCCACCUCCCAGGUUGUCACCCGACUGUGACCUCUAACCACUGCCAGGACCCUUGGGUUGAGGGAGGUCAGGGCACACCAGAGGUGGCAGCAAAGGUGGGGUGGAGAGAAGGCUUGCCCCCGAAGAAGUGCCUGGUCAGGGCCCCAGAUCCCUACCUGCAGCUGGCAGUGCAGGCCUGGGAGGUCACAGUGGGCCCCGAAGGUGGCCUGGAAGGCAUGCAGGAGCAAGGUAGUAUAGGCACUGUGGGGUGAGUGCUCGGGUGCACUCAGCUUGUCCGCCACUGCAAGGAAUUCGGCCUCCACCUCCACUGGAUUCAGCAACAGUACCGUGCUGAGGACACAGAAAAGCAGGAUGGGACUUGGGGACAGGCUGCAGGCCAAGGUGUAGCCACAUGGCCCGGACAUCCUUACACCCCAGCAGGGCCUGAGCAAGGGACAGCAGGACGCCAGGAGAAAGGCCAGAGGGGCCGCUUUCCAAGGGAGACACUUGAAGUUACCUUCGCAGUAUUUCCCAGGGGGAGCUUUCAAAGACCUUUUCAAAACUAAGGCUUAUUUUUUAAAAUGCGUUUUACCCUUCUUUUUAUAUAAACAUCUUUUCCUCCUGGACAUCCGAGUGAAUGCAAAUUACUCAAAAGAGUUUAAUUAAAGGCUUGAAGGCAAGUAACCAUUUCAUAGGAAGUGUGCGCGCGCGCUUUUUGCAUGUGCGUGUGCUAGAAUUCCUCAUGGCACCAGGUAGCACCUGGUUCCUCCGCUCCUGGGAACACCUUUUGAAUUAGCCCAAAGCAGGCCAGCAUCAAGCUGGGAGGACAGUGUUGCUCCACUGCCCUUCCUGCUGGAGCUACAGAUUCCCUUUUGGUGCCAGUGUUUAAAUUUCUUUAUUAUGAGCACUUUCAAACCUACCUAAAUGUUAAGAGAAUUGUGACGCCCAAGCUGCCGGGACCAGAUAACAACAUGAGCCUUCUCAUUCCCUGUCACCCCCACCAGCACUGUGCGACCUCAGAGCAAGUUGGAGCCCUCAGGGGUGAUUCUGAUCUCUCCAUCUGAGAGACAAAGGAGGCGGAGCCCCUUCCCUUGCUGAGCACUUGAGGACAUCUCCUGGACUUGUGCUGAGCAUGCAGCAGGCGGCCCUUCCAGGGGGAGAACCAACCACCAGUGUCUCCAGAGAUCCGCGCCAUGUUGGAACUUAGGACGCUGGGACACCAAGCAGCCAGCCUGCCUCCCUGCUAAGCAAUAGUUCAGAAACAGCUGGCAAAUGCUAUUACAAUAACAGAAGACUCUAUGGCAUGAGCAUAGGCCUCUGGGUAAGAACAGAGAUUGAAAUGUUUGCUCGGCUGCUGUGUGACCUUGGAGAAGUUCCGUGGCCUCUCUGACCUCCAGUUUCCUCAUCUGGAAUGCACAAAUGAAUGCAUAAUGUGUGCCCAGCCCUCGGCGUGAUCGCUGCCGAUCUUUUUCAGGAUGUGCAGGAAGAUGCACAGCCCAGAGCAGUGAAGUUGUGCAUACAGACACCACUCAUAAUUCCAGGGCCUACCUGGUCUCCUUGAAGCCUGGCAUUUUAUACCUGGCAUAGGACUGGGCACCAGGAUGGGGUGGGAGGCCCUUGCCCCAUUUAUCCCUUGCCUGGACACUCACACAGUGGAACUCCGGUGACUCCUGAGGGGCAGACCCUGCUCAGCUCUCACCAGUCGUUGGUAGGAGAUUCCUGUGGGCCAAGGACAAAGAGAAAGCGUUCAUGAGCCCAGAUGACCAGGCCAGAAAUGAGAUGAUGAGGUUCCCGAUGACCUUGGGGAAAAGGGCUGCUGUUUGGCCCUUGGUGUGUCCAGUGCCAGUAAUGCCCCAGCCUUCAUGACCGCAGCCUCCGGCCCCCAAGGCCAUGCUGAGCCUCGCCGCUCUCCCUGGGGUCUCCUCCACCUCUGGCUGCUCUCCCUUCCAAAGGCUCGCCCACAGCCACUCUGCGUGGGGCCACUUAUUGGGAGCCACUGAAGCUGGAAAUUGACCACAUGUGCAAGGCUGGAGCAUGACCAUCCCAAGAACAGAGAGUGCCUGCGGACAAGCCACAGGGAGAAGCUCUUCAGCCCGGAGAACACAUGACCCCAAGACAAUCUGAGCAGUGGGUUGCUAGGAUAACGGGGCGUCACGUGACAUUAAGUUGCUAAAAGGUAUAAAUAAAUGGCCCUGCAGUGAGGAGCCAGUUCCUUUCCUCCCAUCAGGAGAAGGGCUUCACCUGACCCCAGCUCUGUCUCUUAUUUUUCUCAUCCUCUCACCGUCCUUAACCCCAAGAACCUCAGGAGCUGCAUAGGUCACGGCAGCCAGCAGGGAAGGCUGGGAUGCAGGCCAAGAGCUGGCUUCUCUGUGUGGUCCUGGGCACAGAGCUAGACAGGUCAUUUUACUCCAGGACCUCAGUUCCUCCCUGUAAGAGGCAGCAUGGAGCGGUGGCCUCCAAGGCCUCUGAGCAUCUAUGAUUCCCAGCUCCAACACCCUGGAAUGUUUCCCUUCUUGGAGACUUAGGGCAGAGCAUCAGGAGAGGGAGGCCCCAGGCGCAGGGGGCUGCCAGUCGCACCCUGCCCAGCUGUUUCCAGUCCCCGACAUUGCUCUGCCCACAGACUGGCAUCUUCCUGCAGUGAGGUGUGUGCCAGGCGGUCCUCAGUCCCUUUGCCCAGACUCAGCUGAAGCCAGGCCACCAGCUUCGAACCUCUGUGUCUCUGCCUGGCCUCCCAUGCCCACUGGGGCUGCGGUCCUGCCUGGCGCUGGCUCUCUGUGAAGUAUCCGAACAUUACCAAAUCAUGCUCUUCUAACUUGUGA